rnacentral:lncRNA from 1 species
GUAUAUAUACACCCGCGCGAUGCCCAGAUCAUUUUAAAGAAAAAAGCGAAAAUAUUAGAAAUAUAUGUAUAUUGCUACAUAAGUACUUGCCUUUAAAUGGAUUAGUCCACCUGAAAAAGCAUAUAUUUUUGUCUCAAGUUAUGAUUAGAUAAUAUAAAGAACAGUUAAACAGAUGUGUAAUUCGCAAAUUAAGACAUCACCUUCUGUAGUGAUGUAAUUUGGAAACAAAUGUAAGAAUAUGAGCAAGUCAUUUAUCUUGGUUGAUGCUAUAAACGAAGACGCACACGAAACUCAAAAUCUCGGAAAUACGCAAUCCUUGUAAGUAUAACAGUUUUAAGUCUUAGAUAAAAAUGUAUACAAUAAAAACAUUAGUUCUCUUCAAGACUUAAUGUCACAUGCCGACAUAGCAGUGAUGUUGUUGUUCUAGUCGAAAACAUCUUUAUCAUAAGCUACAUGUUCCUUUACAGAUGGGGCAAAGUUCGAUGUUGCACUCUUAAAGUAAGUUUUCUUACAUGUAAAAACAAAUGUAUAUUGCAGACUAUUAGAUGAAAUAAUAGGUAGAACAUUUGGUACUCUUAGUGAAACAAAAUAACGUGAAACGCUAACAAAUUUUGCUUACAAGUUGUUGCAUUUAUUGCUCCAAGUGAAUCCACCCCCAAUCACACAUAUAAAGUUGUAUAAAGGAUGGCAACACCCACCUUUCCAAUGGCUGUAAAUGCUGAAAAUUUACCGGGAUGAAUAUCUAUCUACAUCAGAAAUAUCUCAAGUCAAUUUGAAUAAGUUUUUCUAACUCUUUUACAGUAGAUCAUUAUGAUGAAUGCAACUUAUACCUGAAUUUUAUAUACCACUAUCAUCAAAUUAUGUUCUUAUAUACAAAGAAGAUCAGAGAUUUAGUCUAAUGAUCUUAUAGUUAUACGCUGGCAUAUAAAAAAUACAUAAAAUUACAUAGGUUAUUUGUAUUUUCUGGUUUCUUGUUUGUAUUAGUUUGGUUCUUAAAAUAAUUCUAUAUCGAACUUUUAAGUCUUCUCGUCGGCCAUCUAUCACUUCUCAAACCCAUUUAACCUUGCAACAGUUGCUUCGAAAUGUUGAUAGUGAAUAACUGAAUACGACGAAUGGAUUGUAUUUCAUAAAUAAAGUAAUAAAAACUUGGUGAUAUUAUAUAUGAGAAAAUGUAAUAAAAAAUAAAGAAAGUUUUACAUCACUCUAGAUUCUAAGUUUCUUAUCUAUCAUACAUAGAUAGUGUUUCGCUCUUUAUUAUUUUCUUUUGUUUCACCUCAAUUUGCAUGAGGAUAUGUACACUUUAAGAUGAUUUAGAAUAAUUGUUUGUUAUUCAUAAUAAAUACUACAUCAUUUUCUCUUUGCUUCAUAUUCUCUCCUCUUCACUUACUUAAGAGCAUUUAAAACCGCAAUACUGCCUAAAUACAACAUCAUAACUGAAUAGAUUGCCUUUCUUAAAUAACGUCCAUAAUUGAAUAGACUACCUUUUAACAUUUUAUGUCUAAAAUACUAGACAUAUUUGGAUACAUAUCAACUAUCUCCGCUCAUCUGCGAAGAAUUAAUACCCCUCUUCCACGCCUAGAAAGAAACUCAGAGGUUGACCUCCCCUCGCAUCUGAUUAGCUAGUUGGUAAGGCAAUAGAUUACCAAAGUAAUGAUUAGUAGCUGGUCUGAGAGGAUGAUCAACUACACUAGGACUGAGACACGGCCCACAGUACUACGGGAGGCAGGAGUGAAAAUUUUCCGCAAUAGGCGAAAGCCUAACAAAAUAAUGCUGCGUGGAGGUAGAAGGCCCACGGGUCGUAUCACCCUCAAAAUGUUAUCUUAACUGACAAAGUCAGAAGCAAUAAUGUAGUCGGACCAAGCCCCUAAAUAUAUACGUUUGGGAAUGCAUGUCGUACAAAUACUAAGAUGCAUGUAACAAAAUCCGGCCAAAAAAAGAGAUCGAAAAAAUAGAAAAACAAACAAAAUCCAUCAAACUCUCUUAAUAAAGGAAAUAAGGAACAAAGGAGCAAAAUUCAUAUGUACUUACUAACACAGUAGAGCCAGUAAAAGCCAAAUGGAAAAAUCAGAUUGCAAACUAAGAAGUGAAAGAGAAUACCUGAUAAAUCAAACAAAAUAGAGGAAACAUAUACUACAACCAUCCAAAAAAUUGAUGAAUACCUGAUAAAUAAAACAAAAUAACCAACAUUAAAAUGGUAUGGAAACUGAACCAAGCUACAAUCUGCAACAAAGUCACAAAUGAAAAAACCAAAAAAUAAAAAAGAGAUCAUAUUUCCAGUGUAGUAUACACCCAAGGUAACACAUGCAACACAAAGGGAAAGCUGAUGAAAAUAAGAGAAAAUCAUAGCCUGCAAUUUUUAUGUGAAACAUGACCUGAACACCUGCAGCGCAAAAAAUUAAUCCAAAUUUAAUGACUCCCUGCUAAUAAGUAGGGAGAAAACUGAAAGUUCACAAGAAAAGUUCUAAAAGAAACCAAAAAAGAAAAGGACUAAGCAGAGAAGCAGAAGAUUGAAAAUAAACUUGAGUAGAAACGAAAGCAGAGAAAAGAAGAAAUCUCAGAAGAAGAAAGAAGGACAGCGAGAGAAAGCAAAUAAUAGACCCAACGCAAUGCAAAAAAAACAUUAGUUACCCAAAUUUCCUCUGAUCUUCAAUAAUGCAUUGAAUCAUAAGAAAUAUGUACAUGGAUCUUCAAUUCUCUUAAAGAAAGGAUAAUCAGCAGAGUCAAUUUGGACCUCUAAUUCAGAAAUUUGAAAGAAACCAUAUGAAGCCACGAAAAAAGCAAACCAAUUGAAGAAAUGGGGUUUGUUACCGAUGAAAAGUGGGAUUUCAUGUGAACAAUAAAUUAAA